GUGGGGAAUCUUGGACAAUGGGGGAAACCCUGAUCCAGCCAUGCCGCGUGAGUGAAGAAGGCCUUAGGGUUGUAAAGCUCUUUCAGCGGGGAAGAUAAUGACGGUACCCGCAGAAGAAGCCCCGGCUAACUCCGUGCCAGCAGCCGCGGUAAUACGGAGGGGGCUAGCGUUGUUCGGAAUCACUGGGCGUAAAGCGCGCGUAGGCGGAUAGUUAAGUCGGGGGUGAAAGCCCGGAGCUCAACUCCGGAACUGCCUCCGAUACUGGCUGUCUUGAGUCCGAGAGAGGUGAGUGGAAUUCCCAGUGUAGAGGUGAAAUUCGUAGAUAUUGGGAAGAACACCAGUGGCGAAGGCGGCUCACUGGCUCGGUACUGACGCUGAGGUGCGAAAGCGUGGGGAGCAAACAGGAUUAGAAACCCUAGUAGUCC
rnacentral:rRNA from 1 species